rnacentral:rRNA from 1 species
AUUGAACGCUGGCGGCAUGCUUUACACAUGCAAGUCGAACGGCAGCGCGGGCUUCGGCCUGGCGGCGAGUGGCGAACGGGUGAGUAAUACAUCGGAACGUGCCCAGUAGUGGGGGAUAGCUCGGCGAAAGCCGGAUUAAUACCGCAUACGACCUGAGGGUGAAAGCGGGGGAUCUUCGGACCUCGCGCUAUUGGAGCGGCCGAUGGCAGAUUAGCUAGUUGGUGGGGUAAAGGCCUACCAAGGCGACGAUCUGUAGCUGGUCUGAGAGGACGACCAGCCACACUGGGACUGAGACACGGCCCAGACUCCUACGGGAGGCAGCAGUGGGGAAUUUUGGACAAUGGGCGAAAGCCUGAUCCAGCAAUGCCGCGUGUGUGAUGAAGGCCUUCGGGUUGUAAAGCACUUUUGGCGGGAACGAAAAGGACUGUGCCAAUACCACGGUUCGAUGGCGGUACCCGCAGAAUAAGCAGGGGCUAACUACGUG